GGCCUCCCAAUGCUUACCACAGGCUGUGUUCUGACUGUAUAGAAAGAGGAUGUACAGUAAAUGCUCCCCAUAUACACCUAAAACAAGGCCCUUUGCCUGGUCUAUAUUGUGAAUGGGGGGGACAAAC